UCUACUGAAAGAGUUUUCGGACAAUGGAUGUAGAGGAAAGUGGCGGACGGGUGAGUAACGCGUGAGGAACCUGCCUUGAAGAGGGGGACAACAGUUGGAAACGACUGCUAAUACCGCAUGACGCAUAGGGGUCGCAUGAUCUAUAUGCCAAAGAUUUAUCGCUUCAAGAUGGCCUCGCGUCUGAUUAGCUGGUUGGCGGGGUAACGGCCCACCAAGGCGACGAUCAGUAGCCGGACUGAGAGGUUGAACGGCCACAUUGGGACUGAGAUACGGCCCAGACUCCUACGGGAGGCAGCAGUGGGGAAUAUUGGGCAAUGGGCGCAAGCCUGACCCAGCAACGCCGCGUGAAGGAAGAAGGCUUUCGGGUUGUAAACUUCUUUUAAGAGGGAAGAGCAGAAGACGGCACCUCUAGAAUAAGCCACGGCUAACUACGUGCCAGCAGCCGCGGUAAUACGUAGGUGGCAAGCGUUGUCCGGAUUUACUGGGUGUAAAGGGCGUGCAGCCGGGUCUGCAAGUCAGAUGUGAAAUCCAUGGGCUCAACCCAUGAACUGCAUUUGAAACUGUAGAUCUUGAGUGUCGGAGGGGCAAUCGGAAUUCCUAGUGUAGCGGUGAAAUGCGUAGAUAUUAGGAGGAA
rnacentral:rRNA from 1 species